rnacentral:rRNA from 1 species
CACUGAAUACAUAGGUGUGUGAGGCGAACGCGGCGAACUGAAACAUCUAAGUAGCUGCAGGAAAAGAAAUCAACCGAGAUUCCCAAAGUAGUGGCGAGCGAAAUGGGAAGAGCCUGUACGUGAUAGUUGGACUGAUAAUGGAAUGCUCUGGAAAUGGCAGCCAUAGCGGGUGAUAGCCCCGUACAUGAAAUCAGACCAGUGGUACUAAGCGUACGACAAGUAGGGCGGGACACGAGAAAUCCUGUCUGAAUAUGGGGGGACCAUCCUCCAAGGCUAAAUACUCGUAAUCGACCGAUAGUGAACCAGUACCGUGAGGGAAAGGCGAAAAGAACCCCGGGAGGGGAGUGAAAUAGAUCCUGAAACCGUGUGCAUACAAACAGUAGGAGCCUCUUCGGGGGUGACUGCGUACCUUUUGUAUAAUGGGUCAGCGACUUACAUUCAGUGGCAAGGUUAACCGAAUAGGGAAGCCGUAGAGAAAUCGAGUCCGAA